UAGUAUUCAAUUGUCAGAGGUGAAAUUCUUGGAUUUAUUGAAGACUAACUACUGCGAAAGCAUUUGCCAAGGAUGUUUUCAUUAAUCAAGAACGAAAGUUAGGGGAUCGAAGACGAUCAGAUACCGUCGUAGUCUUAACCAUAAACUAUGCCGACUAGGGACCGGAUGAUGUUAUUUUUAAUGACUCA
rnacentral:rRNA from 1 species